rnacentral:snRNA from 1 species
CAGACUAGAUAUCAUAAUCACAAAGGUAGUUUUCCCAGGGUAAGUCUCAUCCAUUGCACUCUGGGGGGUGCUGACCCCUGUGAUUUCCCCAAAUGGGGGAAACUCAACUG